rnacentral:rRNA from 1 species
GGUGAACCUGCGGAAGGAUCAUUACCUUUCAAUGCAGAAGAGUUGAGGUGGUUGAGUAUCUCGCCCCUCAAUUCUCGCUGUAUUUUACCCUUGUUUUUCUCGUACUAUUAUUUCCUCGGCAGGCCAGCCUGCCGGGUGAAACAACUUCAAACCUGUUUAAUUUUCAAUCAGCGUCUGAACAAAUUAAUAAUUACAACUUUCAACAACGGAUCUCUUGGUUCUGGCAUCGAUGAAGAACGCAGCGAAAUGCGAUAAGUAGUGUGAAUUGCAGAAUUCAGUGAAUCAUCGAAUCUUUGAACGCACAUUGCGCCCCUUGGUAUUCCAUGGGGCAUGCCUGUUCGAGCGUCAUUUGUACCUUCAAGCUCUGCUUGGUGUUGGGUGUUUGUCCUUGCCCUAGUGGCGGGACUCGCCUUAAAGUAAUUGGCAGCCAGUGUUUUGGUUUUGAAGCGCAGCACAAGUCGCGAUUCAAGUCUAUACGCUAGUUUCCACAAGUCUUUUAUCACUUUUGACCUCGGAUCAGGUAGGGAUACCCGCUGAACUUAAGCAUAUCAAUAAGCGGAGGAA